UAUGCCUAAUAAAACUGAAAAUAUUAAUUAUGAUUAUAAAAGCUAUCUACUCUGUAUUGAGUUUGUUCAAAAUGAGUUAGACCCCUGUGAGAGAUUUAUCAUGCUCCUAAGAUCAAGACAUUUAUUCAGAAAGAUUCACUCUUCCGAAGUAUUAUUGCAUUAGAGGCAUGGGCUAUGCAAAAAUAAAGAUAUUAUGAGGAA
rnacentral:lncRNA from 1 species